rnacentral:rRNA from 1 species
GAUGAACGCUGGCGGCGUGCCUAAUACAUGCAAGUCGAGCGAACGGACGAGAAGCUUGCUUUUCUGAUGUUAGCGGCGGACGGGUGAGUAACACGUGGAUAACCUACCUAUAAGACUGGGAUAACUUCGGGAAACCGGAGCUAAUACCGGAUAAUAUUUUGAACCGCAUGGUUCAAAAGUGAAAGACGGUCUUGCUGUCACUUAUAGAUGGAUCCGCGCUGCAUUAGCUAGUUGGUAAGGUAACGGCUUACCAAGGCAACGAUGCAUAGCCGACCUGAGAGGGUGGUCGGCCACACUGGAACUGAGACACGGUCCAGACUCCUACGGGAGGCAGCAGUAGGGAAUCUUCCGCAAUGGGCGAAAGCCUGACGGAGCAACGCCGCGUGAGUGAUGAAGGUCUUCGGAUCGUAAAACUCUGUUAUUAGGGAAGAACAUAUGUGUAAGUAACUGUGCACAUCUUGACGGUACCUAAUCAGAAAGCCACGGCUAACUACGUGCCAGCAGCCGCGGUAAUACGUAGGUGGCAAGCGUUAUCCGGAAUUAUUGGGCGUAAAGCGCGCGUAGGCGGUUUUUUAAGUCUGAUGUGAAAGCCCACGGCUCAACCGUGGAGGGUCAUUGGAAACUGGAAAACUUGAGUGCAGAAGAGGAAAGUGGAAUUCCAUGUGUAGCGGUGAAAUGCGCAGAGAUGUGGAGGAACACCAGUGGCGAAGGCGACUUUCUGGUCUGUAACUGACGCUGAUGUGCGAAAGCGUGGGGAUCAAACAGGAUUAGAUACCCUGGUAGUCCACGCCGUAAACGAUGAGUGCUAAGUGUUAGGGGGUUUCCGCCCCUUAGUGCUGCAGCUAACGCAUUAAGCACUCCGCCUGGGGAGUACGACCGCAAGGUUGAAACUCAAAGGAAUUGACGGGGGCCCGCACAAGCGGUGGAGCAUGUGGUUUAAUUCGAAGCAACGCGAAGAACCUUACCAAAUCUUGACAUCCUUUGACAACUCUAGAGAUAGAGCCUUCCCCUUCGGGGGACAAAGUGACAGGUGGUGCAUGGUUGUCGUCAGCUCGUGUCGUGAGAUGUUGGGUUAAGUCCCGCAACGAGCGCAACCCUUAAGCUUAGUUGCCAUCAUUAAGUUGGGCACUCUAAGUUGACUGCCGGUGACAAACCGGAGGAAGGUGGGGAUGACGUCAAAUCACCAUGCCCCUUAUGAUUUGGGCUACACACGUGCUACAAUGGACAAUACAAAGGGCAGCGAAACCGCGAGGUCAAGCAAAUCCCAUAAAGUUGUUCUCAGUUCGGAUUGUAGUCUGCAACUCGACUACAUGAAGCUGGAAUCGCUAGUAAUCGUAGAUCAGCAUGCUACGGUGAAUACGUUCCCGGGUCU